rnacentral:lncRNA from 1 species
CAGCUCAUAGUGGAUCCAAUUCAUACAUACUGCAGCUCAUGAGGAUACAAACAUCCAGGACAUUAAAAUGCAUCAGCGGACUCAUCAGACUUCAGGUGAAAGGCCAACCAUUCACAACAUAACCAUGUAGCGAUGGAAAGAAGUCAUGCGGAACAAGACUUUGUUUGAGCUGCAGUUGAGUAGGUUCGACACCUGUGUGAUUGAAAGUGGCGACCAACUUGCCAUCCAUGUCAACCUGAACUAGCCAGUCAGGAAAUUUGACCAGCACAAGCAACUCACCAUCCCCAGGCGCGACCGUUUCCCAAGAGUCAUCGUCGUCGCGUUUUCCACACGACGCCCUAAUCUCUGUAAGCGGCAAUUCAAUGUGGCAUUUGAAGGUCCAGACCUCGCUUUCAUAGUCCUGUAACACCCAGAUAUCAAUGUUUGUCGCUUUGUCAUUAAAGCUAGACAUGCCGAGCAUUCCAUCCAUCUCAAACCUGUGUUUUGAUUUUCGGUUUGUGUUUUUUUUCGUCCUUGGCCGAAAUGGCCGAAUUUCGGGAAUUUUAAAUUUUUCGGCAAAAUCUCGGACGAAAUUUCAAAAUCAAAAUUUGAAAAUUUGGCCGAAAUUUGGCCGAAAUUCAAACAAGAUUUGAAAUAAAACAGGCCACAAAUAUAGCAGCGCAACAACCAUCAGGUUUGAUCAUGUAAAUUUCAGCAAAUAAGCUCUAGGGAUUAAUAAAACUGCAUCUGUCCAACAUAACAGGCACACAUUAGUUAUAAAGUGGCCUCCAACAUAACCCUUAACAGUCCAACAUCAGUUCAACCAUCACAGCAUAGUUCAGAGUUUAAAUAGUCCGGUACAGCCAACAGACUUAAAGUAUUACACAUAGAAACAACAGCUCCAAAAGGCAACUAUCAAAGUAUGACAUUGAAACAGCAGCUCCAAGCUUGCCUACAUCCAAAAGCUUCUUGAUAUCCUUAGUUAUUCUUCAAGUGUCAUUUAUGGUUUAGAGAAAACAGAGGAAGGGUCAGGAUGGAGGUAGUUCUGCAUCGGAAUUAUCUUCUGCCACUUUGUGCAUUAAAAAUAAAAUGGACUAACAGGACAAGUGGCUAGUAGAACAAUAGUCAAAUUUAUGCAUGCUCAUGAAUCAAAUAACAAAUCUACUACAGUAAUAUAGUUUUUUAUUCACCAAAAAGCUUCAGGAGCAAAGGUUAAAUGCCUCCAUAUACUAGAAUGAUGAAUUCUAGUUUACAAUUUUUACUCGAGCACAACAAAACUCUAAGGAUACAAAGAAAACAACAUAGACACAAACAGCCCACUGUUGGCUUGGACUAGCCAUUUGUCAAUUGUCAUACAAAAGGAAAAUCAGGAUGGAUGUAGUUCAACAUCAGAAUUUUCUUCUUCCACUUUGUGCAUAAUGAAAUAAAAUGGACUAACAUGGAGGUGUCUAGUGCAACAAUAGUCAAGUGGUAACAUUUCAGGAUAACAUAAAUACAUUGCUUAACAUGACAACGAAGGCUAGGCAUGGAUAGAAAGUGUAUACAUCUAAGAAACUAGCGGCUCCAAGUAACUAAAAUUUUCUAAGCAAUUAUCAUGAAUCAUAAAACACUAGAAAGAAGAGACUUGCCAACAGAUUUCUAAGCAACAGGGGAUAGGCUGUUGACGCCCUUGGUCUUCUUCUUGACAAGCCGUACAGAUCUACGGGUCUCCAAAUUGCCAUCUCUUGGAGGUGCGUCCUUUUCUACUUGAAUUUGUGUCUCUUUUUCCACUUGCAUUUGCGCCUCUUGCUGAUCAUGCAUGGAUGGAGCAUCUUCCCCAUCCUCACUCACCCCAUCAUUAUCCUCACUCUCACUAUCAACAAAUACAUUCUCUUCAAAAUCACAUGACAAAAGAACAACGGUCAGUUAUGAAGAGUAGGUAACUAGAGAAGCAACCCUUGCUUACUUGGGUGUCCUCACAUGAAUGAGGAACAAAAACAGUACAGCUUAAUGCUCUAGUUUAGAUACUAAGGAAUAAGUAAUUUAAAUACAACCUGAUGCUCUAGGUUGCCAAAAAGACAAGUCAAAAAUAAUAAUCUAUUCUUGAGAAAGAUACUGCGAAGCUUAGUUCUAGAACCACCACUUAAUGGUACCGCUGAAUAUUGAAUUAACCAUCGGUCAACAUCUACUUAGUUAAAUACACAACACAACUGAAUUAUUAUUGGACGUACUGUAGAUCUAAAUAAAUGAUCAAUUCAAACAUGAGAUGCUUCUGCAAACAUACAAGCGAGUGGUUGGAGGUGAUGAAAAAAACUUUAAUAUUGCACACAAGCAUCAUCUCAACAGCUCAAAAACAAGCACACACCCCAGAUCUAUGGAACGAUUAUAUAUUUUAGGAUGUUCAGAAUAAUCGUUUGUAACCCACUUUUUUGUUGGACCAAAAUAAAUAGUACCAGAUCGUGAGCAUCUUAGUGAAUACCAGAUGCAUGUGUGUUUCAGGUUAUAUACCAAACCAAAACAUUGUGAGACUCCUUGGUGACUACCAAAUGCAUGUAUAUUUCAGAUUAAUAAUCUCACUGUUGUACGUUCAACUCAUCAAGACUCACUUUUUCUUAACCCCGUAUGAUAUAUGCAUUUGCCGAGCCAUUUACCAGGGACCUCUCCUAAAUCUAAAGCAGCACAAGCAGACACAGAUUAUAACCAAGAAACAAAGCAACAUCGAUCUGAAAUUGCUCAAGAACUGAAACUGCAUACACAUACUGAAACUGCAUCAAGAACAUUUGUACCUUUCCAGUCAAGCGGACGCCCUCCAUGCUGCUGCCGCUGCCCCGUGCUACUGCCUCCGUUGAACUGGUCGGCUCGCGCUCCAUCAGCUCCGUUGCCGCAGCCGCCGAGCACCAUGCUGCAGUCUUGGAGAAGGGCCGCAGCCGCCGAGCUCCGUUGCCGCAGUCUUCGACAGGAAGUGGAUGGGGUGGAGGCGAGGAGAUGUGGAGGAGGGCCGGAGAAGUGAGCGCCUUGGCCGGAGAUGUCGAGGAGGGCGAGGAGAUGUGGCCUCUGCGCAGCGGCGGCGCCGCACACAGGAGGACGGACAGGGAAAGAGCGAUUUAGGGUUAGGUAGCGUGGGUUCGUGGUUUUGUCUCAGCGGAAGCCUAACUGGAAGGCUCUCGAAGCUGGGCCGGGCAAAAAAAAUUCAAACUGGGCCAAAUUAUUCGGCCGAUAGGCCCAUAUAUCGGGCCCUAGCGAGACGGCCGAAAUUCGGCCGAAAUUCAUUUUUUUCGGCCGAAAAUCAAAACGCAGUCUCAAACAGCCCAUCCCUGGCAGAACCACGAACAAUCGGGACGCGCAUCUGUCGGAACGACUCAGCCGUGGUGUCAAACACGAUUAGCAUGUUGCUUUCGCCCUCGUGCUGCUGCACCCGGUGCCAAUGCAGCCCGCCACGGAGUAGCACAUACUUGGUGCCGAAUAUGACUUCUUUAUGCGCUUCCCCCGGCCUGACGAUUCUUCUCGGCGGUUGGCCGGAGCCCAACGAUAAAACAUAGCAGCCAGCUUCCCUCCCAGCUGCCGGACACCGGUACAUCAGUACCCUGUAUUCGCCGGUUGGGGGGUGACGGUACAUCCCCAAGAACGUGGAGUCCAUAGGCACCCUGAGGCGGGCAUACUGACGGGUCGCUGGGUUGCAGAUGCCCAAGAACUUGCGGCGCCACCAGUCGAAGACAACGAGGCCGUCAAAGGAGGCCACCAGAUCUUUGAAUUCGGAGGCUCGGCCAAGUCGCGCGACGGGCUGGAGCUUGUCGGCGGCGGCCCGGUGGUCGAAGGGGAUGAUGUCUAUGUCGCCGCCGACCUUGUAGUAGCCGUAGCGGGGAAGGUUGCAGACGUAGAGGAAGGGGCGGGUGGGCUGGCGGGCGUGGUUGGCGAUGAGGAAGUCGCGGGCGGAGGUGGCUGUGCGCCAGGCGCGGCAGACGGCGCGGCAGCGGAGGAGCGAUUUGGGGGGCAGGCGGACGAGGAUGUCCCAGAUGAGGAUCUCAUCCGGGAUGCCAUCAUGAGGAGGCGUCGGCCCUCCCCUUGCUGCCUCCGCCAUGGCCGCCGGCGAGGAGCUAGACCUGCAUCUCGAUCUGUCGCAGGGGUAGAGUGGACAAGUAGCGGCGUGUGGGGAAAAGUGGCAGGUAGUGACGGCGGAGGGUUUCGUGGCCGUGGUCGUUGGGAUAGGAAUAAUAUAGUGCCUUUUUUUUUCUUUUCUUUUUUUAACAGGUAUUAGGCGCUGAAGGCGUCCAAUUUCAUUCAGCCCAAUACCAGCGUACAGCCCCUAAAAAACAUGUUGUACAAAGCCCUGAAGGUUUAGAUUGGAAAGAAGACAGAUUAUUAAAGGUUUAGAUUGUAAUAUCUUCUUUUUUCCUGCGGAAAACCCGGCGGCUCCUAGGAGGCGAUUAGGAUUCACGCGAGGACUUUGACGGCACUCGUCGAGUUGAUUGGCGAGGCGGGGAAUCCAUCGCUCAGAGAUGGCUACGGCGGCUGGGCGUGAUGGACUGCGAGGGGCCAGGGCUCUAUCGCCCAAGUCGGCGAGGGUGCGGCUUGAGGAGGCUCUAGGGAAACUCGAUAUCUCAGAGGAGGAGGCCACACCUCUGGUGAUUGAUGAUCGUGAUGAGGGCGGCCAGCAGAAGUGGAUGCUGGCGUGAAAGGUUCUGUUCAGCAAUGUCUUCCAUAUCCAAAUCAUCUCCAACGCCCUUCGGCCCGUGUGGGGAAACCCUAAAAGUUUAAGCUUGAGAUCUGUUGGGCCUAAUAAUUUUGUAGCGGAGUUUGCUACACAGAGAGAUCUUGACCGCGUUAAGGGACGCUCUUCAUGGCACAUCAACAAGCAUGUUGUGAUCAUAUCUGACUUUGUUGAUACCAUGAGGCCUUCUGAACUCAAGUUUGAACAGCUUCAGGUCUGGGCAAGAGUUGUGAAUCUUCCCUUCCAUCUAUGGAAUGAGAUCUGGGGCAAAGCCAUAGCACGUCAAAUUGACAAGGGGGCCACUUGAGUGCAAUUUGAUCAUGCCAAUGGAUUCCUCAAGGUUAGGGUCACCCUCAAUGUGACUAAACCGUUGAGGCGUUGGAUAUUGAUUGAUCCAGCCAAACGUGAAAGCACAGAUGUGUAUAACAUAGAAUAUGAAAAUAUCCCUCACUUUUGCUUCUCAUGUGGUAGGUUGGGUCACUCAGAUUUGUUCUGCCCGACCCCGGGGACUAGAGACGCCAACGGCGAUCUGCCUUUUGGGAAAGGGCUACGUGCAGCGGAUGAAUAUAGGCGAGCAGCAUCAAGUGGGAACUCAAACAAAGAGCAGAACUCAUCCAGGAUGCCAUCAUGAGGAGGCGUCGGCCCUCCCCUUGCUGCCUCCGACAUGGCCGCCGGCGAGGAGCUAGACCUGCAUCUCGAUCUGUUGCAGGGGUAGAGUGGACGAGUAGAGGCGUGUGGGGAAAAGUGGCAGAUAGUGACGGCGGAGGGUUUCGUGGUCGUGGUCAUCGGGAUAGGAAUAGUAUAGUGCAUUUUUUCUUUUCUUUUUUUUAACAGGUACUCCUAUUAGACACUCAAGGCGUCCAAUUUCAUUCAGCCCAAUACCAGCGUACAGCUCCUAAAAAACAUGUUGUACAAAGCCCUGAAGAUUUAGAUGGGAAAGAAGAGAAAUUACAAGGCAAGGCAUGUGUUUUGUCUGUGAGCUGAACCAAGCAACUACUUCAUGAGCAACAUUAUUAAAGUUAUUAGUACAAAGUUGAGUCACUUAUUUUGGGGUAGAGGUAGUAUAUGAUACACCUGCGUGUGAAGGUUUUUUGUUGACCCGAAGAGAUCACAAGAGAGGUUCUAACAGUCCAAGGAAUAGAAUCAGCUGAAAUACUUUUGGUCGCAGCCGCUUUUGCCAGGGGAUCAAUCUGCAAAGCAUGGGUCACUUUGGCCGCAAGAAGAAGAUCCAAAGCUUCACCAUGAAGAGGAAAUUAAGUGAUCGGAGCCGAUGUUUGAAUCCGCACUUGAGUGUCCCUCUGGUCCCGCAAGAUAGCUAUGAUGCCAUGCAAUAAGCCAGGGCUUUUUUCUUGCAUUUGAAUGCCGCAUCAGAGUAAUCUUUUGAUCUUGUGAUAAGUACAUUAGUGCGAAGGGUGCGGUCCCCUGAUGAAACGUCAUCACACUCAUGGACCCUUGGAUGUGGUGUUGCACAUUGACCUGGCGAGGACCACAACACCACCUACACAAGUACAACCAUUGUCUGUGCUGCUUGCUGAGAUCGAGAGACAUGAGGAAGGAGGGCCAACCGUUUCGGCAGAUGAUGCCAUCUGCCCCAGGGAAGAGGAUAUGGAUCAUGACAUGGAGGAGGCCGAUGACCAUAACCAGUUUUUCAAUACGGACUUUGACAACGAAAUAACAAUGGGUCAACCAUAUGAAUGUGAGAUGCAUGUACCAGAGCUGGAAUGUCCUCGGGAGUGCAAGAAGUCUUUGUUCAUGUAAUCCUCAGAGGACACGCCUCCAGAUGCCGGCUCCACCCAAGCUCAACUAAUUAGCCAGAGUCGUCCAAUGCUGAGCCCGACAACACUAGGGGUGGUGCUCAGGGAGGGUCUGACAGACCCACCAGCACCUGAGCCCACCAAGAAGAAGUAGAGGAAGAGACUGGUGGCAAGAAAAUCCAAUAAAGCUGGCAAUGUUGGUUCUAGCAGCCAGCCGCCUUGGACCAAGGUUGACCGUGUACCGAUGAAACAUGCGCCAUUAAUCCAUGUUGCGGGAGAGCCAAUGGUACCGGCGAAUGCACUAGCUGCCAUAGCAGGGGAUCUUAGGAGACUCCAUGACCAUGUGCUUUCGACAGAGAGAAGCCUCCUCGCCUCGCAUGAUCCAGGAUACCCACUUUAUAUGGUUCAUGUGCCGAGCAAUUGCAAGAUGUAUGUCCACACAUGCCCUGCGGACCUCUUCUUCCUAAGGUUUGAUUACAUCUUCCAGAUGUUUCAAAUGAGGACACUCGAUUUUACGUUCGUCUGCCUGUAUGCGCUACACAUGAACUACAAUGUUAGGAGAGAGAGCAAGUCACCGGUCUUGCGCGCCCCCUACCCUCGUUAGCCACCCGUAAGGCGGUUGACGCUCUUCUUUUGCCGCAAGAAAGCUAAUUUUCGAGAAAAAAAAAUCACAACGAAGGUUUCAGGCCAAUCGUAGUUACGGAUCUCCAUAUAUACACGGAACGGUGAAACAGAGCUAGGGAGAACGCAGAAACAGAGAGAGACAGAUCCAAUCUCGGAGGGGCUCUCGCCCCUCCUGUGCCAUGGAGGCCAUGGACCAGAGGGGAAACCCUUCUCCCAUCUAGGGAGGAGGUCAAGGAAGAAGAAGAAGGAGGGGGGCUCUCCCCCCUCGCUUCCGGUGGCACCGGAACGCCACCGGGGGCCAUCAUCAUCACCGCGAUCUACACCAACACCUCUGCCAUAUUCACCAACAUCUCCAUCACAUGCCCCCCCCCUCUAUCUACAGCGGUCCACUCUCCCGCAACCUUCUGUACCCUCUACUUGAACAUGGUGCUUUAUGCUUCAUAUUAUUAUCCAAUGAUGUGUUGCCAUCCUAUGAUGUCUGAGUAGAUUUUCGUUGUCCUAUCGGUGGUUGAUCAAUUGCUAUGAUUGAUUUAAUUUGCUUGUGGUUAUGUUGCUGUCCUUUGGUGUCCAUCAUAUGAUUGCGCGCGUGGAUCAUACCCUAGGGUUAGUUGUAUGUUGAUAGGACUAUGUAUUGGAGGGCAAGAGUGACAGAAGCUUCAACCUAGCAUAGAAAUUGAUGCAUACGGGAUUGAAGGGGGACCAAUAUAUCUUAACUCUAUGGUUGGGUUUUACCUUAAUGAACAUUAGUAGUUGCGGAUGCUUGCUAAUAGUUCCAAUCAUAAGUGCAUAGAAUUCCAAGUCAGGGAUGACAUGCUAGCAGUGGCCUCUCCCACAUAAUACUUGCUAUCGGUCUAGUAAAGUAGUCAAUUACUUAGGAGCAAUUUCAUAACUGCUACCACCACUUUUCCACACUCGCUAUAUUUACUUUAUUGUUUCUUUAUCUAAACAGCCCCUACUUUUUAUUUACGUACUCUUUAUUAUCUUGCAAACCUAUCCAACGACACUUACAAAGUACUUCUAGUUUCAUACUUGUUCUAGGUAAAGCGAACGUCAAGCGUUCGUAGAGUUGUAUCGGUGGUCGAUAGAACUUGAGGGAAUAUUUGUUCUACCUUUAGCUCCUCGUUGGGUUCGACACUCUUACUUAUCGAAAACUGUUGCGAUCCCCUAUACUUGUGGGUUAUCAAGACCUUUUUCUGGCGCCGUUGCCGGGGAGCAAUAGCGUGGGGUGAAUAUUCUCGUGUGUGCUUGUUUGCUUUAUCACUACAUAAUUUUUAUUUGUUGUUCUUAGUUGUUUUCUAUCUUUAGUUAUGGGUAGGAAACGCAAAAUACCAAAAAAUUAGUUGUACCUACUAAACCAAUGGUUGAAGAACCACUCAAAAUCUAUCACACUGAUGAAGCUUAUUACUUGGAUCAUCUUCGAUCCCUAUGUGCUCGUGCUGAAACCCCAACUAGCUUAGUUGAGGGGAAAUCUUUAGAUGAGCAUGCUUAUUAUGUGCGACACUGCUACCUCUUGAGCACUGCAUAGGAUUUCCCCGAAGAGGAAGGGAUGAUGCAGCAAAGUAGCGUAAGUAUUUCCCUCGGUUUUUGAGAACCAAGGUAUCAAUCCAGUAGGAGGCUACGCUCGAGUCCCUCAUACCUACACAAAAACAAUAGCUCAACGCAACCAACGCGCUUAGGGGUUCUCAAUCCCUUCAUGGUCACUUACGAAAGUGAGAUCUGAUAGAGAUAAUAGAUAAUAUUUGUUUGGUAUUUUUGGUAUAAAGAUGCAAAGUAAAUAAAGUAAAAGCAAUGUAAAAGCAAAGCAAUAUUAAAGUGAUGGAGAUUGAUAUGAUGAGAAAGAGACCCGGGGGCCAUAGGUUUCACUAGUGGCUUCUCUCAAGAGCAUAGGUAUUUCUACAGUGGGUGAACAAAUUACUGUUGAGCAAUUGACAGAAUUGAGCAUAGUUAUGAGAAUAUCUAGGUAUGAUCAUGUAUAUAGGCAUCCCCUAUACUUGUGGGUUAUCAAGACCUUUUUCUGGUGCCGUUGCCAGGGAGCAAUAGCGUUGGGUGAAUAUUCUCGUGUGUGCUUGUUUGCUUUAUCACUAAAUAAUUUUUAUUUGUUGUUCCUAGUUGUUUUCUAUCUUUAGUUAUGGGUAGGAAACGCAAAAUACCAAAAAAAUUAGUUGUUCCUACUAAACCAAUGGUUGAAGAACCACUCAAAAUCUAUCACAAUGAUGAAGCUUAUUACUUGGAUCAUCUUCGAUCCCUAUGUGCUCGUGCUGAAACCACAACUAGCUUAGUUGAGGGCAAAUCUUUAGAUGAGCAUGCUUAUUAUGUGCGACACUACUACCUCUUGAGCACUGCGUUGGAUUUCCCCGAAGAGGAAGGGAUGAUGCAGCAAAGUAGCGUAAGUAUUUCCCUCGGUUUUUGAGGACCAAGGUAUCAAUCCAGUAGGAGGCUACCCUCGAGUCCCUCGUACCUACACAAAAACAAUAGCUCAACGGAACCAACGCGCUUAGGGGUUGCCAAUCCCUUCACGGUCACUUACAAAAGUGAGAUCUGAUAGAGAUAAUAAAUAAUAUUUUUUGGUAUUUUUGGUAUAGAGAUGCAAAGUAAAUAAAGUAAUAGCAAAGUAAAAGCAAAGCAAUAUUAAAGUGAUGGAGAUUGAUAUGAUUAGAAAGAGAUCCGGGGGCCAUAGGUUUCACUAGUGGCUUCUCUCAAGAGCAUAGGUAUUCUACGGUGGGUGAACAAAUUACUAUUCAGCAAUUGACAGAAUUGAACAUAGUUAUGAGAAUAUCUAGGUAUGAUCAUGUAUAUAGGCAUCACGUCCGAGACAAGUAGAUCGAAAUGAUUCUGCAUCUACUACUAUUACUCCACUCAUCGACCGCUAUCCAGCAUGCAUCUAGAGUAUUAAGUUAAAAACAGAGUAACACCUUAAUCAAGAUGACAUGAUGUAGAGGGAUAAUUUCAUGCAAUAUGAUAAAAACCCCAUCUUGUUAUCCUCGAUGGCAACAAUACAAUAUGUCCCUUGCUGCCCCUUCUGUCACUGGGAAAGGACACCGCAAGAUUGAACCCAAAGCUAAGCACUUCUCCCAUGGCAUGAACAACCAAUCUAGUAGGCCAAACCAAACUGAUAAUUCGAAGAGACUUGCAAAGAUAAACAAUCAUACAUAAAAGCAUUCAGAGAAGAUUCAAAUAUUAUUCAUAGAUAGACUUGAUCAUAAACCUACAAUUCAUCGGUCUCAACAAACACACCGCAAAAAGAAGGUUACAUUGAAUAGAUCUCCACAAGAGAGGGGGAGAACAUUGUAUUGAGAUCCAAAAAGAGAGAAGAAGCCAUAUAGCUACUAGCUAUGGACCCGUAGGUCUGAAGUAAACUACUCACACUUNNNNNNNNNNNNNNNNNNNNNNNNNNNNNNNNNNNNNNNNNNNNNNNNNNNNNNNNNNNNNNNNNNNNNNNNNNNNNNNNNNNNNNNNNNNNNNNNNNNNNNNNNNNNNNNNNNNNNNNNNNNNNNNNNNNNNNNNNNNNNNNNNNNNNNNNNNNNNNNNNNNNNNNNNNNNNNNNNNNNNNNNNNNNNNNNNNNNNNNNNNNNNNNNNNNNNNNNNNNNNNNNNNNNNNNNNNNNNNNNNNNNNNNNNNNNNNNNNNNNNNNNNNNNNUGAUCGAUGCCUCCUCCGGUGGAGCUCCGGAACAGGCCCCAAGAUGGGAUCUCAUGGAUACAGAAAGUUGCGGCGGUGGAAUUAGGUUUUUGGCUCCGUCCCCGAUCGUUUGGGGGUACGUGGAUAUAUAUAGGAGGAAGAAGUACAUCGGUGGAGCUUCGAGGGGCCCACGAGGCAGGGGGCGUGCCCUAGGGGGGUGGCGCCCCUACCCUCAUGAGCACCUCAUGGCUUUCUUGACGGAGGGCCCAAGUCUCCUGGAUCUUAUCUGAUGAAAAAAAAUCACGUUCCUGAAGGUUUCAUUCCAUUUGGACUCCGUUUGAUAUUCCUUUUCUUCGAAACCCUAAAACAGGCAAAAAAACAUCAAUUCUGGGUUGGGCCUCCGGUUAAUAGGUUAGUCCCAAAAAUAAUAUAAAAGUGGAAAAUAAAGCCCAAUAAUGUCUAGAACAGUAGAUAAUAUACAUGGAGCAAUAAAAAAUUAUAGAUACGUUGGAGACGUAUCAAGCAUCCCCAGGCUUAAUUCCUGCUCGUCCUCGAGUAGGUAAAUGAUAAAAACAGAAUUUUUUAUGCGGAGUGCUACUUGGCAUAAUUGUAAUGUAAUUCUUCUUAAUUGUGGUACGAAUAUUCAUAUCCGAAAGAUUCAAGACAAACAGUUCAUAUUGACAUAAAAAUGAUAAUACUUCAAGCAUACUAACUAAGCAAUUUUGUCUUCUCAACAUAACAUGGCCAAAGAAAAUUCAUCCCUACAAAAUCAUAUAGUUUAGUCAUGUUUCAUUUUCUUCACACAAGAAUGCUAUCAUCAUGCACAACCCCGAUGACAACCAAGCAAUUGUUUCAUACUUUAGUAAUCUCAAACCUAUAAACUUUCACGCAAUAUAUGAGCACGAGCCAUGGACAUAGCACCAUGGGUCGACUAGAAUAUAAUGAAGGGGGGUUAUGUGGAGAAGACAAAAAAGGAGAAAGUCUCACAUCAACGAGGCUAAUCAAUGGGCUAUGGAGAUGCCCACCGAUUGAUGUUAAUGCAAGGAGUAGGGAUUCCCAUGCAACGGAUGCACUAGAGCUAUAAAUGUAUGAAAGCUCAACAAAGGAAACUAGUGGGUGUGCAUCCAACUUGCUUGGUCACGAAGACCUAGGGAACUUGAGGAGGCCAAUUGUUGGAAUAUACAAGCCAUGUUUUAUAACAAAAAAUUCCCACUAGUAUAUGAAAGUGAUAAACAUGAGAGACUCUCUAUUAUGAAGAUCAUGGUGCUACUUUAAAGCACAAGUGUGGUAAAAGGAUAGUAACAUUUUCCCUUCUCUCUUUUUCUCUCAUUUUUGGGCCUUCUCUUUUUUAUGGCCUUUCUCUCUUUUUUUGGGCCUUCUCUUUUUAUGGCCUUUUUUUAAUUUAUUCCUCACUUGGGACAAUGCUCUAAUAAUGAUGAUCAUCACACUUCUAUUUAUUUACAACUCAAUGAUUACAACUCGAUACUAGAACAAAGAUGACUCUAUGUGAGUGCCUCCGGCGGUGUACCAGGAUAUGCAAUGAACCAAGAGUGACAUGUAUGAAAGAAUUAUGAACGGUGGCUUUGCCAUAAAUACUAUGUCAACUACAUGAUCAUGCUAAGCAAUAUGACAAUGAUGAAUGUGUCAUGAUGAAUGGAAUGAUGGAAAGUUGCAUGGCAAUAUAUCUCGGAAUGGCUAUGGAAAUGCCAUAAUAGGUAGGUAUGGUGGCUAUUUUGAGGAAGAUAUAAGGAGGUUUAUGUGUGAAAGAGUGUAUCAUAUCACGGGGUUUGGAUGCGCCGGCGAAGUUUGCGCCAACUCUCAAUGUGAGAAAGGGCAAUGCACGGUACCGAAGAGGCUAGCAAGGGUGGAAGGGUGAGAGUGCGUAUAAUCCAUGGACUCAACAUUAGUCAUAAAGAACUCACAUACUUAUUGCAAAAAUGUACAAGUCAUCAAAAACCUCAGCACUAUGCGCAUGCUCCUAGGGGGAUAGAUUGGUAGGAAAAGACCAUCGCUCGUCCCCGACCGCCACUCAUAAGGAAGACAAUCAAAUAACACCUCAUGUUUCAAAUUUGUUGCAUAAAGUUUACCAUACGUGCAUGCUACGGGACUUGCAAACCUCAACACAAGUAUUUCUGAAUUUCACAACUACUCAACUAGCAUGACUUUGAUAUUAUUACCUCCAUAUCUCAAAACAAUCAUCAAGCAUCAAACUUUUUUUAGUGUUCAACACACUCAUAAGAAAGUUUUAUUAUUAAUCUUGCAUACCAAGCAUAUUAGGAUUUUAAGCAAAUUACCAUGCUAUUAAGACUCUCAAAAUAAUCUAAGUGAAGCAUGAGAGAACAAUAGUUUCUAUAAAACAAAUCCACCACCGUGCUCUAAAAGAUAUAAGGGAAGCACUAUAGCAAAAUUAUAAAUCUCAAACGAUAUAAGUGAAGCACAUAGAGUAUUCUAUCAAAUUCCAAAUCAUGUAUGGCUCUCUCAAAAGGCAUGUACAGCAAGGAUGAUUGUGGUAAACUAAUAAUCAAAGACUCAAAUCAUAAAAGAUGCUCCAAGCAAAACACAUAUCAUGUGGUGAAUAAAAAUAUAGCUCCAACUAAAGUUACCAAUAGAAGUAGACGAAAAAGGGGAUGCCUUCCGGGGCAUCCCCAAGCUUUGGCUUUUAGCUGUCCUUAGAUUAUCUGGGAGGUGCCAUGGGCAUCCCCAAGCUUAUGCUCUUGCCACUCCUUGUUCCAUAAUCCAUAAAAUCUUUACCCAAAACUUGAAAACUUCACAAUACAAAACUUAAGAUAGAAAACUCGUGAGCUCCGUUAGCGAAAGAAAACAAAAGACCACUUCAAGGUACUGUAAUGAACUCAUUAUUUAUUUAUAUUGGUGUUAAACCUACUUAUUCCAACUUCUCUAUGGAUUAUAAACUAUUUUACUAGCCAUAGAUUCAUCAAAAUAAGCAAACAACACACGAGAAACAGAAUCUGUCAAAACAGAACAGUCUGUAGUAAUCUGUAUCUAGCGCAAGAUCUGGAACCCCAAAAAUUCUAAAAUAAAUUGCUGGACGUGAGUAAUUUAUCUAUUAAUCAUCUGAAAAAAUAAUUAACUAAAUAGCACUAUCCAAAUAUAAAUUACAGCAGUUCUCGUGAGCGCUAAAGUUUCUGUUUUUUACAGCAAGUUCAACAAGACUUUCCCCAAGUCCUCCCAACGGUUCUACUUGGCAGAAACACUAAUUAAACACAAAAAACACAACCAAAAAAGAGUCUAGAUAAUUUAUUUAUUACUAAACAGGAGCAAAAAGCAAGUAAUAAAAAUAAAAUUGGGUUGCCUCCCAACAAGCGCUAUCGUUUAACGCCCCUAGCUAGGCAUAACAAGCAAGAAUAGAUCUAGGUAUUGCCAUAUUUGGUAGCCAAUUCUUUGAUGAGGCAUCUAUUUCCCUUAGGAAAUUCUUUCUUUAUAGUGAUUAUCAAGCUCUUAGGCACAAGAUCAAAAAAUUCAUUUGUAGCAAUUGGUUCAUUAAUGAUAGCAAAAAGAUUGGGAUGAAUACUUAUAGAUUUAAGAUCCGCGGUUUCCUUACUAGAUGAUUCACCCUUAUUUUUAGGAACAUACAUAAGCUUGGAAAUUUAAGUAGGAGGACUUGGAGUAUUAUUUACGGAAGAAAAAGCGGUUCCCAAGUUUUUAAUGAUACCCUCAAGUUUAUCAAUUCUAGUAGAAUCUAAGUUUAUCUUCUAAUUAACUAUGGGUUCCUUUUCCUUAAUAUUUUUCAAAGUCAUUCCUACCUUAGAUCCAUAUUGAGUAAUUUGAUUGUGGAUUUUUUAUCUAGAUUUUCAAUUAAUUCAAUAGUAGCAACUUUAUUUUCAAUAAUUUCAAGUCUUUGCAUAACAUGCUCCAAAGUUAGCAUAGUUCCAUUAACCAAAAGAGGUGGCGAGCCAAAUAAAUCUAAUAUAUCAUUAUAAGAAUCAAAAGUAUGGCUACCCAAGAAAUUCCCUCCGGUAAUGGUAUCGAGGAUGUAUCUAUACCAAGGAUUAACACCAACAUAAAAAUUGCGGAGAAGAACUGAAGUAGAUUGCUUCCUGGUAGAUCUAUUUUGAGCAUUGCAAAUUCUAUACCAAGCAUCUUUUGGAUUUUCUCCCUCCCUUUGUUUAAAAUUUAGAACUUCAUUCUCGGGAGACAACGAAGAAGAUAUGAGACUAGUCAUAAAGACAAGCAAACAAACUAACACACGAGCAAACAAGAGCGAACGGGCAAAAGAGGCAAAUAGAGAGGGAGGAUAGAGAGAGAGGGCGAAUAAAAUGGCAAGCGUGAAGUGGGGGAGAGGAAAACGAGAGGCAAAUGGCAAAUAAUGUAAUGCAGGAGAUAGGGAAUGUGAUUGGUACUUGGUAUGUUGACUUUUGCACAGACUCCCCGGCAACAGCGCCAGAAAUUCUUCUUGCUACCUCUUGAGCACUGCGUUGGAUUUCCCCGAAGAGGAAGGGAUGAUGCAACAAAGUAGCGUAAGUAUUUCCAUCAGUUUUUGAGAACCAAGAAAUCAAUCCAGUAGGAGGCUACGCUCGAGUCCCUCGUACCUACACAAAAACAAUAGCUCAACGCAACCAACGCGCUUAGGGGUUGUCAAUCCCUUCACGGUCACUUACGAAUGUGAGAUCUGAUAGAGAUAAUAAAUAAUAUUUUUUUUGGUAUUUUUGGUAUAGAGAUGCAAAGUAAAUAGAGUAAAAGCAAAUCAAUAUUAAAGUGAUGGAGAUUGAUAUGAUGAGAAAGAGAUCCGGGGGCCAUAGGUUUCACUAGUGGCUUCUCUCAAGAGCAUAGGUAUUAUCCGGUGGGUGAACAAAUUACUGUUGAGCAAUUGACAGAAUUGAGCAUAGUUAUGAGAAUAUCUAGGUAUGAUCAUGUAUAUAGGCAUCACGUCUGAGACAAGUAGACCGAAACGAUUCUGUAUCUACUACUAUUACUCCACUCAUCGACCGCUAUCCAGCAUGCAUCUAGAGUAUUAAGUUAAAAAUAGAGUAACGCCUUAAGCAAGAUGACAUGAUGUAGAGGGAUAAUUUCAUGCAAUAUGAUAAAAAAAAACCCAUCUUGUUAUCCUCAAUGGCAACAAUACAAUACAUGCCUUCCUGCCCCUUCUGUCACUGGGAAAGGACACCGCAAGAUUGAACCCAAAGCUAAGCACUUCUCCCAUGGCAUGAACAACCAAUCUAGUAGGCCAAACCAAACUGAUAAUUCGAAGAGACUUGCAAAGAUAAACAAUCAUACAUAAAAGCAUUCAGAGAAGAUUCAAAUAUUAUUCAUAGAUAGACUUGAUCAUAAACCUACAAUUCAUCGGUCUCAACAAACACACCGCAAAAAGAAGGUUACAUUGAAUAGAUCUCCACGAGAGAGGGGGAGAACAUUGUAUUGAGAUCCAAAAAGAGAGAAGAAGCCAUAUAGCUACUAGCUAUGGACCCGUAGGUCUGAAGUAAACUACUCACACUUCAUCGNNNNNNNNNNNNNNNNNNNNNNNNNNNNNNNNNNNNNNNNNNNNNNNNNNNNNNNNNNNNNNNNNNNNNNNNNNNNNNNNNNNNNNNNNNNNNNNNNNNNNNNNNNNNNNNNNNNNNNNNNNNNNNNNNNNNNNNNNNNNNNNNNNNNNNNNNNNNNNNNNNNNNNNNNNNNNNNNNNNNNNNNNNNNNNNNNNNNNNNNNNNNNNNNNNNNNNNNNNNNNNNNNNNNNNNNNNNNNNNNNNNNNNNNNNNNNNNNNNNNNNNNNNNNNNNNNNNNNNNNNNNNNNNNNNNNNNNNNNNNNNNNNNNNNNNNNNNNNNNNNNNNNNNNNNNNNNNNNNNNNNNNNNNNNNAACAGGCCCCAAGAUGGGAUCUCAUGGAUACAGAAAGUUGCGGCGGUGGAAUUAGGUUUUUGGCUCCGUCCUCGAUCGUUUGGGGGUACGUGGAUAUAUAUAGGAGGAAGAAGUACAUCGGUGGAGCUUCGAGGGGCCCACGAGGCAGGGGGCGUGCCCUAGGGGGGUGGCACCCCUACCCUUAUGAGCACCUCAUGGCUUUCUUGACGGAGGGUCCAAGUCUCCUGGAUCUUAUCUGAUGAAAAAAAAUCACGUUCCUGAAGGUUUCAUUCCAUUUGGACACCGCAAGAUUGAACCCAAAGCUAAGCACUUCUCCCAUGGCAUGAACAACCAAUCUAGUAGGCUAAACCAAAUUGAUAAUUCAAAGAGACUUGCAAAGAUAACCAAUAAUACAUAAAAGAAUUCAGAGAAGAUUCAAAUAUUAUUCAUAGAUAGACUUGAUCAUAAACCCAUAAUUCAUUGGUCUCAACAAACACACCGCAAAAACAAGGUUACAUCGAAUAGAUCUCCACGAGAGAGGGGGAGAACAUUGUAUUGAAAUCCAAAAAGAGAGAAGAAGCCAUCUAGCUACUAGCUAUGGACCUGUAGGUCUGAAGUAAACUACUCACACUUCAUCGGAGGGGCUUGGAUGAUGAUUUAGAAGCCCUCGGUGAUCGAUGCCUCCUCCGGCGGAGCUCCGGAAUAGGCCCCAACAUGGGAUCUCAUGGAUAUAGAAAGUUGCGGCGGUGGAAUUAGGUUUUUGGUUCCGUCCCCGAUCGUUUGGGGGUACGUGGAUAUAUAUAGGAGGAAGAAGUACGUCGGUGGAGCUUCGAGGGGCCCACGAGGCAGGGGGCGCGCCCUAGGGGGGGCCUACCCUUGUGAGCACCUCGUGGCUUUCUUGAUGGAGGGUCCAAUUCUCGUGGAUCUUAUCUGAUGAGAAAAUCACGUUUCCGAAGGUUUCAUUCCGUUUGGACUCCGUUUGAUAUUCCUUUUCUUCGAAACCCUAAAACAGGCAAAAAACAACAAUUUUGGGCUGGGCCUCCGGUUAAUAGGUUAGUCCCAAAAAUAAUAUAAAAGUGGAAAAUAAAGCCCAGUAAUGUCUAAAACAGUAGAUAAUAUAGCAUGGAGGAAUCAAAAAUUAUAGAUAUGCUGGAGACGUAUCAGACACCAAGUAUCUAAAAAAGGGAAAACUUUACUCGAUCAAAUUCAUCGUUUGCAAUGCUAUGCUUGGAAUUUAUGUGAAAUAUAUGAUUAUACUUGUUGUUCUGAAGACCCUAAGAAACACCUUCCCUACCAAUGUUUGUUUAGUGAUAAUGGAAUCGUAUCCUCUUAUGCUAAGGGUGUUUAUAGUUACUAUGAUGUUCAGCAAAUUGAAGAAUUUGUUGCUUUUAAGGGUGCUUAUGAAAUUGCUUCUUUGAUUGAAAAGUAUGAUGCUACUCUUUACAAAUCUGAAAAUUUUGCCAUAUUUAAAUAUUGCUAUGAUAAUUAUGCUUCUAAUUCCUAUGUUGAACCAUAUAUUGAGUACUACUCCGCUGUCCAAGAAGCGACUAAUAUUUUGUAGGAGUCUAUGGAAGAAGAAAUUGAUGAAACUGUGAGCUCAUUGGAUGAAAAAGAUGAGGAGGAGAGAGAAGCACAAAAGGAAGAAGAGAGGAUUAGCUACCCGUGCCCACCUUCUAAUGAGAGUAACUCUUCAAUUCAUACAUUGUUUAAUUCCCCUUCGUGCUUACCGGAGGAUGAUUGCUAUGAUGAUUGUUAUGAUCCCGUUGAUUCUCUUGAAAUAUCCCUUUUUGAUGAUGCUUGCUAUGCUUGUGGCCAAGAUGCCAAUAUGAAUUAUGCUUAUGGAGAUGAACUUGCUAUAGUUCCUUUAUGUUAAACAUGAAAUUGUUUUUAUUGCACCCACGCAUGAUAGUCCUAUUAUCUUUUUGAAUUCUCCCGACUACACUAUAUCGGAGAAGUUUGCCCUUAUUAAGGAUUAUAUUGAUGGGUUGUCUUUUACUACUACACAUGAUGAUUUUGAUGAAUAUAAUAUGCAUGUGCUUGCUGCUCCUACUUGCAAUUAUUAUGAGAGAGGAACUAUAUCUCCACCUGUCUAUGUUUCCAAUAUGAUAAAAUUGCAAGAAACUGUUUAUACUAUGCAUUGGCCUUUACUUUGUGUGCAUGAAUUGUUCUUUCAUGACAUGCCGAUGCAUAGGAAGAGAGUUAGACUUCGUCAUUACAUGAUAUAUGUUGCUUUGCGCUCACUACUGAAUGCCAAAUCAUUGUUAAUUAAAAUUGGCUUUGAUAUACCUUGGGAUCCGGGUGGAUCCAUUACUUGAGCACUAUAUGCCUAGCUUAAUGGCUUUAAAGAAAGCGCUGCCAGGGAGACAACCCAGAAGUUUUAGAGAGUCAUUUAUUUCUGUUGUGUUCUUUUAUAAAGUUUAGAAAUAAAAAUAAUGUGCCAAGGUUUGCCUUUAGGAUGUUUACAUUUGCUUGAUGGUUUGUACGGUGCAGGACAGAAACUUUGGCUGUAGUGCGCGAUUUUACAUUUUUAGCUGGAACAUCAAAUGGUUCUGAUUCUUUUUGCACUGUCUUCCUAUACAAAUUAUUUAUUUUUCCUAAUUUUUAUAGAAUUUUUCAAGUAUCAGAAGUAUGGUGAAUGUUCAGAUUAUUACAGACUGUUCUGUUUUAGACAGAUUCUGUUUUUUAUGCAUAGUUUUGAUGAAACUAUCAAUUUAUAUCAGUGGAUUAAGCCAUGGAAAAGUUAUAUUACAGUAUACACAAUGCAAAAACAAAAUAUGAAUUGGUUUGCAACAGUACUUAGAGUAGUGAUUUGCUUUAUUAUACUAACGGAUCUUACCGAGUUUUCUGUUGAAGUUUUGUGUGGAUGAAGUGUUCGAUGAUCGAGAAGGUCUCGAUGUGAGAAGAAGGAAGAGAGGUAAGAGCUCAAGCUUGGGGAUGCCCGAGGCACCCCAAGUAAAUAUUCAAGGAGACUCAAGCGUCUAAGCUUGGGGAUGCCCUGGAAGGCAUCCCCUCUUUCUUCAACAAGUAUCAGUAUGUUUUCGGAUUCGUUUCGUUCAUGUGAUAUGUGCAAUCUUGGAGCGUCUUUUGCAUUUAGUUUUCAUUUUUAUUUUAUGCACCAUGCUGGUAUGAGAUAGUCCUUGGUUGAUUUAUAGAAUGCUCAUUGCACUUCACUUAUAUCUUUUGAGUAUUGCUUUAUAGAAUGCUUCAUGUGCUUCUCUUAUAUCAUUUGAAGUUUGGAUUGCAUGUUUCUCUUUACAUAGAAAACCGCCAUUUGUAGAAUGCUCUUUUGCUUCACUUAGAUUUGUUAGAGCAUGGACAUAUCUUUUUUAGAAAGAAUUGAACUCUCUUGCUUCACUUAUAUCUAUUUAGAGAGAUGACAGGAACUGGUCAUUCACAUGGUUAGUCAUAAAAUCCUACAUAAAACUUGUAGAUCACUGAAUAUGAUGUGUUUGAUUCCUUGCAGUAGUUUUGCGAUAUAAAGAUGGUGAUAUUAGAGUCAUGCUAGUGGGUGGUUGUGAAUUGUAGAAAUACUAGUGUUGAGGUUUGUGAUUCCCGUAGCAUGCACGUAUGGUGAACCGUUAUGUAACGAAGUUGGAGCAUGAGGUAUUUAUUGAUUGUCUUCCUUAUGAGUGGCGGUCGGGGAUGAGCGAUGGUCUUUUCCUACCAAUCUAUCCCCCAAGGAGCAUGCGUGCAGUACUUUGUUUCGAUGACUAAUAGAUUUUUGCAAUAAGUAUGUGAGUUCUUUAUGACUAAUGUUGAGUCCAUGGAUUAUACGCACUCUCGCCCUUCCACCAUUACUAGCCUCUCUAGUACCGCGCAACUUUCGCCGAUACCAUAAACCCACCAUAUACCUUCCUCAAAACAGCCACCAUACCUACCUAUCAUGGCAUUUCCAUAGUCAUUCCGAGUAUAUUGCCAUGCAACUUUCAUCAUCAUCAUAUACAUGACUUGAGCAUUCAUUGUCAUAUUGCUUUGCAUGAUCGUAAGAUAGCUAGCAUGAUGUUUUCAUGGCUUGUCCGUUUUUUGAUGUCAUUGCUAUGCUAGAUCAUUGCACAUCCCGGUACACCGCCAGAGGCAUUCAUAUAGAGUCAUAUCUUUGUUCUAGAUAUCGAGUUGUAAUAUUGAGUUGUAAGUAAAUAAAAGUGUGAUGAUCAUCAUUAUUAGAACAAUUGUCCCAUGUGAGGUUAUCAAAAUAAAAGUGGCCAAAGAAGCCUCCCCCAAAAAAAGAGAGGCCAAAGAAGCCUACAAAAAAAAGAUAAAAAGAAAAAAAUGAGAGAAACAGAGAGAAGGGGAAAUGUUACUAUCCUUUUACUACACUUGUGCUUUAAAGUAGCACCAUGUUCUGCAUAUAGAGAGUCUCUUGAGCUAUCACUUUCAUAUACUAGUGGGAAUUUUCAUUAUAGAACUUGGCUUGUAUAUUUCAAUGAUGGGCUUCCUCAAAUGCCCUAGGUCUUCAUGAGCAAGCAAGUUGGAUGCACACCCACUUAGUUUCAGUUUGAGCUUUCAUAUACUUAUAGCUCUAGUGCAUCCGUUGCAUGGCAAUCCCUACUCACUCACAUUGAUAUCUAUUGAUGGGCAUCUCCAUAGCCCGUUGAUACGCCUAGUUGAUGUGAAACUAACUUCUCCUUUUUUUUCUUCUCCACAACCACCAUUCUAUUCCACCUAUAGUGCUAUGUCCAUGGCUCACGCUCAUGUAUUGCGUGAAAGUUGAAAAGGUUUGAGAACGUCAAAAGUAUGAAAUAAUUGCUUGGCUUGUCAUCGAUGUUGUGCAUGAUGUGAGUAUUUUGUGUGACGAAGAUGGAGCAUAGCCAGACUAUAUGAUUUUGUAGGAAUAACUUUCUUUAGCCUUGUUAUUUUGGAAAGACAUGAUUGCUUUGUUAGUAGGCUUGAAAUAUUAUUGUUUUUAUGUCAAAUGAUAGACUAUUGCUUUGAAUCACUCGUAUCUUAAUAUUCAUGCCAUGAUUAGACAUAUGAUCAAGAUUAUGCUAGGUAGCAUUCCACAUCAAAAAUUACCUUUUUUAUCAUUUACCUACUCGAGGAUGAGCAGGAAUUAAGCUUGGGGAUGCUGAUACGUCUCCGUCGUAUCUAUAAUUUUUGAUUGUUCCAUGCGAAUAUUCUACAACUUUCAUAUACUUUUGCCAACUUUUUAUACUAUUUUUGGGACUAACAUAUUGAUCCAGUGCCCAGUGCCAGUUCCUGUUGGUUGUAAGUUUUUGGUUUUGCAGAAUAUCCAUAUCAAACGGAGUCCAAACGGGAUAAAAAUGGACGGAGAUACUAUUUGGAAUAUUUGGAAAAUUCCGGAAGAAAAAUCCACGCGAGACGGUGCCCCAGGUGGUCACGAGGCAGGGGGGUGCGGCCCCUACCCUCGUGAGCCACUCGUAAGGCGGUUGAUGCUCUUUUUUUCCGCAAGAAAGCUAAUUUUCGGACAAAAUAUCACGGCGAAGGAUUCAGGCCAAUCAGAGUUACGGAUUUCCAUAUAUACAUGAAACGGUGAAACGGAGCCAGGGAGAACGCAGAAACAAAGAGAGACAGAGAGACAGAUCCAAUCUCGGAGGGGCUCUCGCCCCUCCCAUGCCAUGGAGGCCAUGGACCAGAGGGGAAACCCUUCUCCCAUCUAGGGAGGAGGUCAAGGAAGAAGAAGAAGGAGGGGGGCUCUCUCCCCCUCGCUUCCGGUGGCACCGGAACGCCAUCGGGGGCCAUCAUCAUCACCACGAUCUACACCAACACCUCUGCCAUAUUCACCAACAUCUCCAUCACCUGCCCCCCUCUAUCUACAGCGGUCCACUCUUCCACAACCUGCUGUACCCUCUACUUGAACAUGGUGCUUUAUGCUUCAUAUUAUUAUCCAAUGAUGUGUUGCCAUCCUAUGAUGUCUGAGUAGAUUUUCGUUGUCCUAUCGGUGGUUGAUGAAUUGCUAUGAUUGAUUUAAUUUGCUUGUGGUUAUGUUGCUGUCCUUUGGUGCCCAUCAUAUGAUUGCGCGCGUGGAUCACACCCUAGAGUUAGUUGUAUGUUGAUAGGACUAUGUAUUGGAGGGCAAGAGUGACAGAAGCUUCAACCUAGCAUAGAAAUUGAUGCCUACGGGAUUGAAGGGGGACCAAUAUAUCUUAAUGCUAUGGUUGAGUUUUACCCUAAUAAACAUUAGCAGUUGCGGAUGCUUGCUAAUAGUUCCAAUCAUAAGUGCAUAGAAUUCUAAGUCAGGGAUGACAUGCUAGCAGUGGCCUCUCCCACAUAAUACUUGCUAUCGGUCUAGUAAAGUAGUCAAUUGCUUAGGGGCAAUUUCACAACUCCUACCACCACUUUUCCACACUCGCUAUAUUUACUUUAUUGUUUCUUUAUCUAAACAGCCCCUACUUUUUAUUUACAUACUCUUUAUUAUCUUGCAAACCUAUCCAACAACACUUACAAAGUACUUCCAGUUUCAUACUUGUUUUAGGUAAAGCGAACGUCAAGUGUGCGUAGAGUUGUAUCGGUGGUCGAUAGAACUUGAGGGAAUAUUUGUUCUACCUUUAGCUCCUCAUUGGGUUCGACACUCUUACUUAUCGAAAACUGUUGCGAUCCCCUAUAUUUGUGGGUUAUCAGUUACACACACAUAAAGUAUGUUUGGAUAGAGCUAUGUUGGGCUUCAGCAUGUGGGGUGGCUACAUCCAAUGCAAAAAAAAAUAAGGUUGGGCUUUGUUUCGGCCACAAGACUGACUUCUGUUGCAUCCAGCAACCGGCAAGAAGUGAGAAUGAUGGAUUCUACGUGCAAUCACUUUGCACGAAAUCUACAUCCGAUACCCAUAUCCAGAGAUGGGCCAAAGCCUUUGGAGUCGUGCCAGAUAAUGAACUUCGAAAUGAUCUCUACCGGAUCCAGCAGGAAAUUGUGUCCAUCAUCAUGAAAGAUGUCCUCAAAGAGAAUGGGAUGUUCUACGAUGGCCCAAUAUCGCGAGCUGACGUCCGAACCCGCAUUGCCCUACAUCGUCAGGACAUGACGCCUUUCACUAAGCUUGGGUCUACCCUUCCGGAUAUGGACAGAUGGGAAGACUGCACAUCUUAAAAACAAUUUGUCUGUUUAGUUACUUGUUACUUUUUGUACGACGGAACUUCAAAUCUCUCAGUACGACGAAACUAUUAGAUGUAUGGUGCCGCGCUCUAGUUAAUUACUUUCAGUACGAUGAAAUUUGUUAACUAUGUUUACUAUAUAUGUUGCUUCUAUUUCAUAACUGUUUCGUUGAAUUCGCUUCAUGAUAUAUAUAUAUAUAUAUAUAUAUAUAUAUAUAUAUAUAUAUCUGUGUGUGUGUGUGCGUGCAUCUCUAACAGAUAUAUAGAUCAACGAUGGCGAGGAAGUGGUAUGUCGUGUAUGUAGGGCAUGUUCUCGGUGUGUAUGAUGAGUGGCCAAAGUGUCAGGCCCAAGUCUCUGGCUUCUCCUGUGGAAGCCAGAAAGGGUUUGAUAACAGAGCGGAAGCCGAAGCUAGUUACUUGAGAUUCAUAGCACAACAGGGGAUUCAAAACCAGCACCGCUGCAAAAACUACUACAUAAUACCGCUUUUGAUCAUCGUGAUCGCUCUUAUCUCGUAUGUCAUUGUUUAGGUAGAUGAUGAAACAUGUGUCUACGGUGACAAUGUAAGAGACAUGUGAUCUUUAACUUGUAUCGCUAUUUCGAGAUGAUGAUGAGAUCGACAUCAUUUGUGUUGAGACUAUGUUGAUAUGAUGAGACUAUGUUGUACCACUUCGAUGAUGAUGAUGAGACAUUCCUUUUUCAUGGUCUCGACGCAAGCCAUCUUCAUUGCUGGCCCACCGUCCUCUCCAGCCUGCACAAGAUCUGCCGCGGCUGUGGCAUCCUCGUCAGCCAUACUCUUGCGGUACUCACGGGCCGAGUGGCCCUUGAUGCUGCAAUAUCGGCACUUGUCUCGGUCGUCAUUGGCGGCACCUCAUCCGGCUCCGCACUGGGUGCGACCACCGCCUCUGCCGGUGUCGCCUCCGUUGCUCGGGGCACCUCCACCACGUCCUUGACGCUUCCUCGCCUCCCACUUCUUCGAGAAUAGGAGUUGUCCGCCGCCGAAGCUCUCGCGGCCAUCGUCAAGGCGGUCCUCCACCACCCGCAACCGGCCCAUGAGCUCCUCGAUGGAGAGCUCGCUUAGGUCAAGCAAAGUUUCGAUGGAGACCGCUACCUGAGCGAAGCGAGGUGGCAUGAUGCGGAGAAAUUUCCACAUGACUCUCACGUCGUCCAUGGUAUCGCCGAGCACUCGGAGCUGCGACGCAAGGCUGGAGAGCCGCAUGGCGAAGUCAUCGACGAGCUCGCCCUCCUUGAAGGUGAUGUUCUUGAAGUCCGCCCGCAGCUUCUGAGCGUUCGCCUCGCGCACACGGUUGUUGUCGAGGCGCUGGGUACAGAUGGCUUCCCGCGCCUCCUUGGCGCUUGCCUUCGCCGCGAGCAUGUCAUGCAUCUCCGGCGGUGUGGCGCGCAUAAGCACCACCACGGUUUUCCUAUCUUCCUUUCUCUCGAUCAGGUCGUCCUCGAUGGGAACCCAAAGGCUCGCCGCAUGGAGGUUGGACUCCAUGAUCAAUGCCCACUCGUUGUAGUUUGAGCGCGUGAGCAUCGGGAAGGUGAUGGGCAUGCCUGAUACGUCCAUUUUGCAUCAUGCUUUUAUAUCGAUAUUUAUUGCAUUAUGGGCUGUUAUUACACCUUAUGUCACAAUAUUUAUGCCUAUUCUCUCUUAUUUUACAAGGUUCACACGAAGAGGGAGAAUGCUGGCAGCUGGAAUUCUGUGCUGGAAAAGGAGCAAAUAUUAGAGACCUAUUCUGCACAACUCCAAAAGUCCUGAAACUCCACGGGAGUCAUUUUUAGAAUAUAUAAAAAUAUUGGGCGAAGGAAACACCAGAGGGGGGCCACCCACCAUCCAUGAGGGUGGGGGCGCGCCCUACCCCCUGGGCGCGCCCCCUGUCUCGUGGGCCCCCUGGCAGGCCUCCGGUGCACAUCUUUGGCUAUAUGAAGUCUUUUGCCCUGGAAAAAAUCAUAAGCAAGCUCUCGGGAUGAAACUCCGCCGCCAUGAGGCGGAACCUUGGCGGAACCAAUCUAGGGCUCCGGUGGAGUUGUUCUGCCGGGGGAGCAUCCCUCCAGGAGGGGGAAAUCAUCACCAUCGUCAUCACCAUCAAUCCUCUCAUCGAGAGGGGGUCAAUCUCCAUCAACAUCUUCACCAGCACCAUCUCAUCUCAAACCCUAGUUCAUCUCUUGUAUCCAAUCUUUGUCCCAAAACCUCAGACUGGUACCUGUGGGUUGCUAGUAGUGUUGAUUACUCCUUGUAGUUGAUGCUAGUUGGUUUACUUGGUGGAAGAUCAUAUGAUCAGAUCCUUUAUGCGAAUUAAUACCCCUCUGAUUAUGAACAUGAAUAUGAUUUCUGAGUAGUUACGUUUGUUCCUGAUGACAUGGGAGAAGUCUUGCUAUAAGUAGUCAUGUGAAUUUGGUAUCCGUUCGAUAUUUUGAUGAGAUGUAUGUUGUCUUUCCUCUAGUGGUGUCAUGUGAACGUCGACUACAUGACACUUCACCAUUGUUUAGGCCUAGGGGAAGGCAUUGGGAAGUAAUAAGUAGAUGAUGGGUUGCUAGAGUGACAGAAGCUUAAACCCUAGUUUAUGCGUUGUUUCGUAAGAGGCUGAUUUGAAUCCAUAUGUUUCAUGCUAUGGUUAGGUUUACCUUAAUACUUCUUUUGUAGUUGCGGAUGCUUGCAAGAGGGGUUAAUCAUAAGUGGGAUGCUUGUCCAAGUAAAGGCAGUACCCAAGCACCGGUCCACCCACAUAUCAAAUUAUCAAAUUACCGAACGCGAAUCAUAUGAGCGUGAUGAAAACUAGCUUGACGAUAAUUCUCAUGUGUCCUCGGGAGUGCUUUCCUUUAUAUAAGAGUUUGUCCAGGCUUGUCCUUUGCUACAAAAAGGAUUGGGCCAUUUUGCUGCACCUUAUUUACUUUUAUUACUUGUUACCCGUUAUCAAUUACCUUAUCACAAAACUAUCUGUUACCGAUAAUUUCAGUGCUUAUAGAGAAUACCUUACUGAAAACUGCUUAUCAUUACCUUCUGCUCCUCGUUGGGUUGGACACUCUUACUUACCGAAAGGACUACGAUAGAUCCCCUAUACUUGUGGGUCAUCAAGACUCUUUUCUGGUGUCGUUGCCGGGGAGUGAAGCGCCUUUGAUAGGUGGAAUUUGGUAAGGAAAGAUUUAUAUAGUUUGCUGAAAUUUACUGUCAUCUGUUACUACGGAAAGUAAUCCUUUGAGGGGCUUGUUCGGGGUAUCUUUACCCCGACCAGUAAAGCAAAGAGUUGCUCCUCAACCUAAUGAACCUACUGAAAAUGUGAAUCAUGAUACCUGAUAAACAGGAGAUCCAACUGUCAGUGUAUUUAUCCGUCAAACUAUACAAAUUAAUCUCGACUUUGAUCCAGAAAAUUUCCCAAACCCUGAAAAAACAGCAAAGUAGCUCAGCUUAAUGACCCAAACAUACAACUAAUGGGAAUACUAUAAUGUAGAGAUUAGCGACGAUAGGAAUAAAUAGUCCAAAUAAUAGCUGACCAACUCAAAAAUUAUGGCUGAGAGAUGUUCAUCUGAAUUCUAAAUGUGUUGUGCUCUGAAAACAGUACAAAGGUUUAAUCACCCUAUUAUUACUUGCCGUUUCUAAACCAUUUUUUUCUGAAAACAAUUCUGUACAAGUGAAGUUGUAAAAUUGUGAAGCUACCGAGAUGACACUAAGAUUAACAUAUUGCUGCCAUUCCUGACUUAAAGCUUUUACUCAAACUGCUGCUACGUAUGAAAACUCUAUAUUAGCUUCUCGACUUUUUGAGGACAUACAUACAUUGAGAAUAGUGACUAAACCACCGCAUGUUAAUACAGUGGAAACUGAAGUUGUAGCUCCAAACACGGAAGAUAAAAUUUAGGAAAUUUCAACUUGGAGAAUGAAAAUAUAUGCUUGCAAUUAGAUGAUAUAUAGCAUUUUCUUUAAGUGCCGAUGGUGCUUCAUACUAACAAACUUGAAACAUUCAGAGAAGUGAAACAUUUGGAAAGGCGGUGGUUGCGCCGCUGAUGCCUUUAUUGCAGAGAGGAACUGAACAUCGAGCCCGAUCCGCACCCAGCCAUCUCCCAUCACAUUUUCCCUCCUUUGCUCUCCACACAAUGCAUGCCAGCAGCGUACAACACUUGCCACAAGGGCCCGGAGAGGAUCUGAAUGUUGAAGUUGUAUGCUGCAUUUCAUGGUUUGAAAUGUAACUGUGCACUCCAAAAGGGUUAUGCAGUAGAUUAUCCAUAGACUAAAUUUGAUUAGCUGAGCAAUUCUAUGCAAUAGUACAUAAUAUGUCAGUAGUAAGGAAUGAUCAGUUCUCCUGAGAUAACACAUAAUACAUCCAGUAACAAGUGACAAGAGUGAGCUUUCAACUUGCUUCUUCAACAGCAUUGCCCUACGUGUCUUCAAUAAUCAAAUAUUGAUUAUUAAGAAGGCCACCAGAUAAUCUCUCGCACAAAAAGAAGACCUGGAUUAAAAGGGAAGUCAAUUUUUGAUUUCAAGAAAUAGAGACACAUGGAAGGUAGAUUACUAGUAAUAAGCAGCAAGACUGCAAGACGACACCUAGAGGCCCUGGAUAAAAAGUUGAUGUCAAUUCUCCAGUUCAAGAAAAUAGAUACAUGGGGCAGCUAAGUUAGCAUAUGUUACAUACACACCAACAAAAUGACUUGGUAAUUUUGGUAUUGACGUGCACAAUAAUCCCUUCUUUCCAAAAGGUUAUCGACACAAACAUAGAUUUCACGCAACUAUGUAACAACCAAAGAUUCUUGAUUUGAAUUCUACAUGCAUCAACAAAUAGCUUACCGAAAAAGGCAUCUUGGCCCGCUUUAUAAGUAAAGGCACAACCACAAUAAACCACACCACAAACGGAGGUCCAGUGGUAACAUAAAGGUUCGGAAAUUACAUUGAAAUAAAGUACUUGCUGGGGGCAACAGCAAAACAAGCUGACAAAACCCUAAAGUUGAUACAUAUUGCAGCUCAUAGUGGAUCCAGUUCAUACAUACUGCAGCUCAUGAGGAUACAAACACCUAGGACAUUAAAAAGCAUCAGCGGACUCAUCAACGUUUCCUAAAUUUAAGCUUUUACUCAAACAGUUGCAUACUUAUGUAGAAUAUGAACUGCCGCUACCUACGAAACUGUACAUUAGCUCCUCUACUUUUUGAGGACAUACAUAGUAGAGUGGAAACUAAAGUUGUAGCUCCAAACACGGAAGAUAACAAUUAGGAAAUUUCAGUGCUUUCAAUUGCAUGAUUACUGCAUUUUCUUUAAGUGCCGACGGUCUUUUACACUAACAAAGUACUAACAUUCAGAGAAGUGACAACAUAUGGAAAGGUGGUGGUUGCAUCGCUGAUACCUUUGUUGCAGAGUGGAUCUGAACAUCGAGCCCGAUCCACACCCAGCCAUCUCCAUCACAUUUUCCCUCCUUUGCUCUCCACACAAUGCAUGCCUGCAGCGCACGAUACUUGCCACGAGGGCCUGGAGAGGAUCUGAAUGUUGAAGUUGUAUGCUGCAUUCCAUGGUUUAAAAUGUUACCGGGGACUCCAAAAGGGUUACAUAGUAAAUUAUCCACAUACUAAUUCGAUAUCUGAGCAAUUCUAUGCAGUGGUACAUAAUUCAUCGGCGGUAAGGAAUGAUCAGUUGUCCUGCGAUGGAUCAUAAUACAUGCAGUAACAAGUGACAAGAGUGAGCUUUCAACUCGCUUCUACAACAGCAUUGCCCACAUAAUUCCUGGCGCUGUACUUUCCAAUAUAGAUUAAUGAAGACAAAUUACCGAUUGCGCAAUCAUUUAAUUAAAUAGUAGAGAUCCAAGCUCUUCUACAAAUUAGGUGCAACUUGCAAGUCAACACAGAGGACAAUUUGCUAGGCAGAGCAAAAAAGAAACAGGAAACACAUGUGGAUUAUCAAAUAUUUAUUAUUAAUAAGGCCACCAUAUAAUCUCUCAGACUAAAAGAAGACCUAGAUAAAAACCGGCAAAGCCAACUCUUGAGUUCAAGAAAUAGAGAAACCAGGAAGGUAGAUUACCAGUAAUAAAUAAUAAGAAGACACCUAGAGGCCCAGGAUAAAAACGCGAAGUCAAUUCUCCAGUUCAAGAAAAUAGAUACAUAGGGCAGAUUAAUUAGCACAUAUUACAAACACAUAGGAAAAUGACUUGGUAAUUUCGGCAUUGACGCGCACAACAAUCCCUUCUUUCCAAAAGGGUAUUGACACAAACGUAAACAUCAUGGAACCAUGUAAUAACCAAAGAUUCUUGAUUUAUAUUUUACAUGCAUCAACAAAGAAGCUUACCAAAAAAGUUAUCUUGCCCCACUUUAUAAAUAAAGCUGCAACCAUCAUUAUUAAUAAGGCCACCAGAUAAUCUCUCGCAAAAAAAAUAAGACCUGGAUAAAAAGGGAACGUCAAUUCUUGAGUUCAAGAAAUAGAGACACCAGGAAGGUAGAUUACCAGUAAUAAGUAGCAAGACGACACCUAGAGGCUCAGGAUAAAAAACCGAAGUCAAUUCUCCGGUUCAAGAAAACAGAUACAUGGGGCAGAUUAGUUAGCACAUAGUACAAACACACACCAAAAUGACUUGGUAAUUUUGGCAUUGAUGCACACAAUAAGCCCAACAUAGAUUUCAUGCAACUAUGUAACAACCAAAGAUUCUCGAUUUGAGUUUUACAUGCAUCAACAAAGAAGCUUACCAAAAAAGACAUCUUGCCCUGUUUUACAAAUGAAGCCACAACCACGAUACAACCACACCGCAAACGGAAGUCCACAAGUAACAUAAAGGUUCGAAAGUACAACGAAAUAAAGUACUUGCUGGAGGCAACAGCAAAACAAGCCGACAAAACCCUUCAAUUCAUACAUACUGCAGCUCAUAGUGGACCUAAUUCAUACAUACUGCAGCUCAUGAGGAUACAAACAUCCAGGACAUUGAAAUGCAUCAGCGGACUCAUCAGACUUCAGGUGAAAGGCCAACCGUUCACAACAUAACCAUGUAGCGAUGGAAAGAAGUCAUGCGGAACAAGACUUUGCUUGAGCUGCAGUUGAGUAGGUUGGACACCUGUGUGAUUGAAAGUGGCGACCAACUUGCCAUCCAUGUCAAUCUGAACUAGCCAGU